AGAGUUUGAUCAUGGCUCAGAAUCCACGGCUGGCGGCGUGCCUCAGACAUGCAAGUCGAACGCGAAAGUUCCCUUCGGGGAGCGAGUAGAGUGGCGCACGGGUGAGUAACACGUAGGUAAUCUACCUUUGGAUGGGGAAUAACAACCGGAAACGGUUGCUAAUACCGCAUAAUGCAGCGGCACCUAAUGGUGACAGUUGUUAAAGCGGGGGAUCGCAAGACCUCGCGUCUGAAGAGGAGCCUGCGGCGGAUUAGCUAGUUGGUAAGGUAAUGGCUUACCAAGGCUACGAUCCGUAACCGGCCUGAGAGGGCGGUCGGUCACACUGACACUGACAUACGGGUCAGACUCCUACGGGAGGCAGCAGUCGGGAAUUUUGGGCAAUGGGCGAAAGCCUGACCCAGCAACGCCGCGUGAAGGAUGAAAUCCCUCGGGAUGUAAACUUCGCAAGAACGGGAAGAAUAAGCGAGAGUUAAUAUCUUUCGUGAUGACGGUACCGUUUGUAAGCUCCGGCUAACUCCGUGCCAGCAGCCGCGGUAAUACGGGGGGAGCAAGCGUUGUUCGGAUUUACUGGGCGUAAAGGGCGCGUAGGCGGUCAGCACAAGUCAGUUGUGAAAUCUCCGGGCUUAACUCGGAAAGGUCAACUGAUACUGUGCGACUAGAGUGCAGAAGGGGCAACUGGAAUUCUUGGUGUAGCGGUGAAAUGCGUAGAUAUCAAGAGGAACACCUGCGGCGAAGGCGGGUUGCUGGGCUGACACUGACGCUGAAGCGCGAAAGCCAGGGGAGCGAACGGGAUUAGAUACCCCGGUAGUCC
rnacentral:rRNA from 1 species